rnacentral:rRNA from 1 species
UACAGAGGGUGCGAGCGUUGUUCGGAAUUAUUGGGCGUAAAGGGCGCGUAGGCGGCGCGGUAAGUCACCUGUGAAAUCUCCUGGCUCAACUGGGAGCUUGCAGGCGAAACUGCCGUGCUGGAGUGUGGGAGAGGUGCGUGGAAUUCCUGGUGUAGCGGUGAAAUGCGUAGAUAUCAGGAGGAACACCUGUGGCGAAAGCGGCGCACUGGACCACAACUGACGCUGAGGCGCGAAAGCUAGGGGAGCAAACGGG